CCCUUAGAUGUUCUGGGCCGCACGCGCGCUACACUGAUGCGUUCAACGAGUAUACAACCUUGGCUGAAAGGCCUGGGUAAUCUUUUGAAUGCGCAUCGUGCUAGGGAUAGAUUGUUGCAAUUUUCAAUCUUGAACGAGGAAUUCCUAGUAAACGCAAGUCAUCAGCUUGCAUUGAUUACGUCCCUGCCCUUUGUACACACCGCCCGUCGCACCUACCGAUUGAAGAGUUAGGUGAAUUGUUUUGAUCGAUAAGAUUUGACUAUGGUCAACUCUCGUUGUGAAAUUCUGUGAAUCUGACUGUUUAGAGGAAGGAAAAGUCGUAACA
rnacentral:rRNA from 1 species